AGCCCAGAGCCUGAAUCAGUGUGUGUGUUAGUGGAAGCGUCUGGAAAGGCGCGCGAUACAGGGUGACAGCCCCGUACACAAAAAUGCACAUGCUGUGAGCUCGAUGAGUAGGGCGGGACACGUGGUAUCCUGUCUGAAUAUGGGGGGACCAUCCUCCAAGGCUAAAUACUCCUGACUGACCGAUAGUGAACCAGUACCGUGAGGGAAAGGCGAAAAGAAC
rnacentral:rRNA from 1 species